GACGAACGCUGGCGGCGUGCUUAACACAUGCAAGUCGAACGCUGAAGCUCAGCUUUUGUUGGGUGGAUGAGUGGCGAACGGGUGAGUAACACGUGAGUAACCUGCCCCCUUCUUUGGGAUAACGCCCGGAAACGGGUGCUAAUACUGGAUAUUCACUGGUCUUCGCAUGGGGGUUGGUGGAAAGGGUUUUUCUGGUGGGGGAUGGGCUCGCGGCCUAUCAGCUUGUUGGUGGGGUGAUGGCCUACCAAGGCUUUGACGGGUAGCCGGCCUGAGAGGGUGACAGGUCACAUUGGGACUGAGAUACGGCCCAGACUCCUACGGGAGGCAGCAGUGGGGAAGACUGCACAAUGGGGGCAAGCCUGAUGCAGCGACGCCGCGUGAGGGAUGGAGGCCUUCGGGUUGUGAACCUCUUUCGCUCAUGGUCAAGCCGCAACAAUGGUUGUGGUGAGGGUAGUGGGUAAAGAAGCGCCGGCUAACUACGUG
rnacentral:rRNA from 1 species